rnacentral:rRNA from 1 species
UACGUAGGGCGCAAGCGUUGUCCGGAAUUAUUGGCGUAAAGAGCUCGUAGGCGGUCUGUCGCGUCGGUUGUGAAAACCCAAGGCUCAACCUUGGGCCUGCAAUCGAUACGGGCAGACUAGAGUACUGCAGGGGAGACUGGAAUUCCUGGUGUAGCGGUGGAAUGCGCAGAUAUCAGGAGGAACACCGAUGGCGAAGGCAGAUCUCUGGGCCAUUACUGACGCUGAGGAGCGAAAGCGUGGGGAGCAAACAGG